CCCAGCAUCACAUGGCCUCUCCGAGCCUGCCCCUCUUCCUCCUCCCCCUCCCCGCGAUGUCAUUACUCACUGGGUGCAGGGGGAGGGGCAAGGGGAUCCCGGGGCUCUUUCCUCCUCCUCCUCCCAUCUGUGGGUCCUCCCUGAGGGCCCCAGGGAAGGAAGGAUGCAGGAAACCGAGGCGAGUGGACCGCGCCCCCCAGAGCACUCACAGCUGGCCCGUCACCUGCGGAAGACUCCACCAUCAUAAUACAUUUGUGUCUCUCAAUCUUGCAAUAGCGCCUCUUAGUUUAGAUAAAAGGCAGUAUAGAGGUCUAUUUAACCCUUUUCAUAAGUAGUGUCAGGAAAUAACCCCAUUUGAAACUGCUGUUUUCUGACUUUCCCCCUCCUAAAGGGCUUCCAACAGCAGAAGGGAAUAAACUACAAUUUAUUAAGCACGUAAGUGCUUCCUCUAGCAGGCACCUCACUAAGGGUUUCACAGCUGUCCACCCUUUGGCCUGUUUUACAGAGGAAGAAAGGAAGGCUCCGAGAAGUGACCUUGCUCAAGGUGACUGGGCUGCUGACUGGUGGGGCCGAGAUUCAAGCUCAAGGCUAGCUGCAUGCAGGACAGGACCGGCUGGUGACUUAGCAACCCUGCAAGCGGCAGCUCAAGCCCUUUAAAGGAAUCUCAGCUCUGUGGACAUGACUUACCCAGAUGAGAAGGGAGAGGUACCAUUAGUGCAAUCCUAGGUUACACCUUUACUCCAGGAGAUGUAGCCAGGUCCACACCAAGGAGUUCUCUAUCCACCCUGAAGACAAAGCAGUGGCUUCUACUGGGCACCUCUUCCCUUUCAGAUCAUGGCCUGAAUACAGACACUUGUGCUACCAAUUUCACUUCAAAUAAUACAGAGGAGGCCAUGUCCAGUGUCAGGCAGUUCCCGGGCUUCAACUGUGGCUACUGGAUUCAGCAACACAAGGUUAUCCAGGAAGAUGGUAAGACGUGCAGGAAGAGAUAGGUUGAACACAUUCCUGCAACUGGUAUCAGAUCAAGAAAUGGAUAUCUGAGGAACUUCAGAAAUUCCUUUCAAAAGUCCCUGGCCUCAUCACGAACUUUUCCCAGCAGCUUUACUAAUUGAUCCCAUUUUUCCACUUAAACCUUCCUGACGUCAUCACACAUUUAAACUGCAAAAUCCAAAUGACAGAGGCCAGCUCACCUGGGGUCUUUCAAGCUUUGAAAGCCUCAAAGAGAAGCUGAGAAGCUGUCACCCUGCGCCCUCUGUUGGCCAGAAGCAGCUAUUAGGAAAUGGUCUCACUGUUAGUGAGGGUUAGUUAGAAUCCAGCUCAGGCUGUGGCCAAUUUACCAGGAACCAGGAGAGGCGAACUGAGUCAGGUCGUUCACAAUGCAUCACCAUAGUAGUCUUUUGCUCCCUAUUCUGUUCCCCCACAUCCGAGGAAAGCAAAUGACUAAAUAACAGAGUAUGACAGCUUUAGGAGCCUACACAGAGGGCAGAAAGAACAGUCAAUCCCUACCUACCCAGCCCUUGCCUAUCCCCCCAAACAAGAGCAUGUGCCCCAUUGCUCAGCUCAAAGGCUGAAGGGAUCAGCUGUCAUUAGCUGGUGAUUCUAAAAUGCCAAUAAACAGCUGGGAGUCUUUGCUGAGAUGACUGAUGGAUGGCUCCAUAAACUUGUUCAUUCAUUCAGUACAGUGGCAGGCCUGUGCAAGACACGGGGACACAAGAUGUGAGUCCUGCUCUGAUGAAGUGAGCACGAAGUGCCAUUGGAGCUCCAGUACAAGGGCAUCUAAACUACACAGGUCCAAGUGGGGCGGCAGGGGCUGAGGGGAGAAAAUGUACCAGGUGUUUCUUGCCAUCCAGAAACUCAGAAUACAGCAGACAAGGAAAAGACAUGUUGAAUAUCCCAGUUAUUUUUAUUUUUUUUUUUGUCAACUUGACCUAAGUUAAGAGUUUUCUGGGAAGAGGAACCUCAAUCGAGAAAAUUGCCUCUGUCAGAUUGCCUAUAGGCAAGGCUGUGGGACACUGUCUUGAUUGAUGAUUAACUGGGGAGGGCCCAGGCCGUUGUCAGUGCCAUUCCUGGGCAAGCCGCCGUCCUGGGGUGUAUAAGCAAAGUGUGCAAGCCAGAAGGAUCCAGCUUGUAAGCAGGCUUCCUCUGUGGUCCGUUUCUGUUCUGCCUCCUGAUCUGAGCUCCUCUUUCCCUCAGUGAACAGGGACCUAGAAUAUGUAAGCCAAAUAAACCCUUUCUUCCCCAA